rnacentral:rRNA from 1 species
GAUGAACGCUGGCGGCGUGCCUAAUACAUGCAAGUCGAGCGAACAGACGAGGAGCUUGCUCCUCUGACGUUAGCGGCGGACGGGUGAGUAACACGUGGAUAACCUACCUAUAAGACUGGGAUAACUUCGGGAAACCGGAGCUAAUACCGGAUAACAUGUUGAACCGCAUGGUUCAACAGUGAAAGACGGUCUUGCUGGCACUUAUAGAUGGAUCCGCGCCGCAUUAGCUAGUUGGUAAGGUAACGGCUUACCAAGGCAACGAUGCGUAGCCGACCUGAGAGGGUGAUCGGCCACACUGGAACUGAGACACGGUCCAGACUCCUACGGGAGGCAGCAGUAGGGAAUCUUCCGCAAUGGGCGAAAGCCUGACGGAGCAACGCCGCGUGAGUGAUGAAGGUCUUCGGAUCGUAAAACUCUGUUAUUAGGGAAGAACAAAUGUGUAAGUAACUAUGCACGUCUUGACGGUACCUAAUCAGAAAGCCACGGCUAACUACGUG